rnacentral:rRNA from 1 species
GGAAUCUUCCACAUGGGCGAAAGCCUGAUGGAGCAACGCCGCGUGUGUGAUGAAGGGUUUCGGCUCGUAAAACACUGUUGUAAGAGAAGAAUGACAUUGAGAGUAACUGUUCAAUGUGUGACGGUAUCUUACCAGAAAGGAACGGCUAAAUACGUGCUAG